GCCCAGACUCCUACGGGAGGCAGCAGUGAGGAAUAUUGGUCAAUGGGCGGGAGCCUGAACCAGCCAAGCCGCGUGAGGGAAGAAGGUCCAGCGUAUCGUAAACCUCUUUUGUCAGGGAACAAAGGCGGGGACUAGUCCCCGGAUGAGGGUACCUGAAGAAAAAGCAUCGGCUAACUCCGUGCCAGCAGCCGCGGUAAUACGGAGGAUGCGAGCGUUAUCCGGAUUUAUUGGGUUUAAAGGGUGCGCAGGCGGCGUGUAAGGUCAGGGGUAAAAGCCCGGGGCUCACCCCCGGCGAGCCGUUGAAACUGGCGGGCUGGAGUUGGAGAGAAGUACGCGGAAUGCGCGGUGUAGCGGUGAAAUGCAUAGAUAUCACGCAGAACUCCGAUUGCGAAGGCAGCGCACCGGCGCCCUACUGACGCUCAGGCACGAAAGCGUGGGUAUCGAACAGGAUUAGAUACCCCAGUAU
rnacentral:rRNA from 1 species